GACGAACGCUGGCGGCGUGCUUAACACAUGCAAGUCGAGCGAUGAAGUUUCUUCGGAAAUGGAUUAGCGGCGAACGGGUGAGGAACACGUGAAGAAUCUGCCCUCCACUUUGGGAUAACACCGGGAAACCGGUGCUAAUACCGAAUAUUGAAACAUAAGUGGCAUCACUGAGUUUUGAAAGAAUUUCGGUGGAGGAUGACUUCGCGGCCUAUCAGCUAGUUGGUGAGGUAAUGGCUCACCAAGGCAACGACGGGUAGCCGGCCUGAGAGGGCGACCGGCCACACUGGGACUGAGACACGGCCCAGACUCCUACGGGAGGCAGCAGUGGGGAAUAUUGGGCAAUGGAGGAAACUCUGACCCAGCGACGCCGCGUGCGGGAUGAAGGCCUUCGGGUUGUAAACCGCUUUCAGUAGGGAAGAAGCGAAAGUGACGGUACCUACAAAAGAAGCACCGGCUAACUAUGUGCCAGCAGCCGCGGUAAUACAUAGGGUGCAAGCGUUGUCCGGAAUUAUUGGGCGUAAAGAGCUCGUAGGUCGUUUGUUACGUCGGAUGUGAAAACCUGAGGCUCAACCUCAGGCCUGCAUUCGAUACGGGCAAACUAGAGUUUGGUAGGGGAGACUGGAAUUCCUGGUGUAGCGGUGGAAUGCGCAGAUAUCAGGAGGAACACCAAUGGCGAAGGCA
rnacentral:rRNA from 1 species